rnacentral:rRNA from 1 species
ACCCGCUGAACUUAAGCAUAUCAAUAAGCCGGAGGAAAAGAAACCAACAGGUAUUGCCCUAUAACGGCGAGUGAAGCGGCAACAGCUCAAAUUUGAAAUCUGGCUCUCUCAGAGUCCGAGUUGUAAUUUGCAGAGGGCGCUUUGGCGUUGGCAGCGGUCCAAGUUCCUUGGAACAGGACGUCACAGAGGGUGAGAAUCCCGUACGUGGUCGCUGGCCUUCGCCGUGUAAAGCCCCUUCGACGAGUCGAGUUGUUUGGGAAUGCAGCUCUAAAUGGGAGGUAAAUUUCUUCUAAAGCUAAAUACUGGCCAGAGACCGAUAGCGCACAAGUAGAGUGAUCGAAAGAUGAAAAGCACUUUGGAAAGAGAGUCAAAUAGCACGUGAAAUUGUUGAAAGGGAAGCGCUUGCAGCCAGACUUGCCUGUAGUUGCUCAUCCGGGCUUUUGCCCGGUGCACUCUUCUAUAGGCAGGCCAGCAUCAGUUUGGGCGGUUGGAUAAAGGUCUCUGUCAUGUACCUCUCUUCGGGGAGGCCUUAUAGGGGAGACGACAUGCAACCAGCCUGGACUGAGGUCCGCGCAUUUGCUAGGAUGCUGGCGUAAUGGCUGUAAGCGGCCCGUCUUGAAACACGGACCAAGGAGUCUAACAUCUAUGCGAGUGUUUGGGUGUCAAGCCCGAACGCGUAAUGAAAGUGAACGGAGGUGGGAACCCUUACGGGCGCACCAUCGACCGAUCCUGAUGUCUUCGGAAGGAUUUGAGUAAGAGCAUGGCUGUUGGGACCCGAAAGAUGGUGAACUAUGCUUGAAUAGGGUGAAGCCAGAGGAAACUCUGGUGGAGGCUCGCAGCGGUUCUGACGUGCAAAUCGAUCGUCAAAUUUGGGCAUAGGGGCGAAAGACUAAU